CACCUUGCGCCUAGGCUCUAGGACACCUUGGCGCCUUGUUGAGCCUUUAAUAACUAUGGUUGAACUUAGAUGAGGAAGAAGUGGAAAUUCAUAUUUCACUUGCUACUGAGGAAGAAAAUUCCCAAGAGGUGGAUGUUAAGGCUCAUAUCUUUAAGCUGAAGUUGGAAUUAGUGGAUCAUGAUGUUUCAAAAAAGUAGUCCAUGAUUAUUUUCAGUGGUGAUUAGGUAGAUGGGGUGUCAUUUGAGUUGGUGAAUUCAAAAGACCAAUUGGGAGAUAUUGUUUCAAUUCCUGAGGAGUGCCAAAAACUGACCAAGUUUUACUCAUUUAUGGGCAUUACUUUUGCUAAAUAUGGUCCUUUCCAAACACGUGGUAUAACCUGGACGACUCAAGGGUAAUUAAGGUUGAUGAAGAAGUUGAUUUUGGAUUUCAUUGCUAUAAUUUGGAGUGGGUUUCAUAUCAAAUUGUUCUUCUCUAAGGGGAUGAGUAUGAGAAAUGGCAAAGAAACAAAAUGAAUUUGAAAUUUUGUCAUUGGAGGGAGAAUGUACAAUGGCUGAUUCUAAGAAAGUAUGUACAGAACAUUCUGGUACACCAACAUUCCAAUUGGAAGGGCAAUAUUAUUUGGAUAAAAUGCUUUCUGCCAAUUGAGUCCUAGCAUUCAAGUGCAGCUCCACCAUAGCAUUCAAGAUGCUUGCAUAGAAGAUUUUUCUUUUAUUCAUGGAACCUUUUCAUUCUUGAGGACAAGAACGAUUUCAAGAAGUGGGGAACGUUAUGAUAACAAGGGGAAUAGGA
rnacentral:misc_RNA from 1 species